rnacentral:rRNA from 1 species
UACGGGGGGGGUAAGCGUUGUUCGGAAUUACUGGGCGUAAAGGGCUCGUAGGCGGCCAACUAAGUCAGACGUGAAAUCCCUCAGCUUAACUGGGGAACUGCGUCUGAUACUGGAUGGCUUGGAUUCGGGAGAGGAAUGCGGAAUUCCAGGUGUAGCGGUGAAAUGCGUAGAUAUCUGGAGGAACACCGGUGGCGAAGGCGGCAUCCUGGACCGACACUGACGCUGAGGAGCGAAGGCGUGGGGAGCGAACGGG